rnacentral:lncRNA from 1 species
UCAAGAUGAAUAAGAUCACGAUUACAAGGCUGGAGUUGAUCAACAACAACACAGCCCCUAAGCCAGGCUCAAACCUGUCACUAAUAGCCGAUGUGUCGGUGAAAAAUCCCAACUUCGCCUCGUUCAAGUAUACCAACACCACCACGACCUUGUAUUAUCACGGCGUGGUGGUGGGGGAGGCUCAUGGCGCACCUGGUCAUGCUAAGGCUCGACGGACCAUGAGGAUGAAUAUCACGGUUGAUAUGAUCACAGACCGGCUCACGUCCGACCCCAACUUGAGGGCGGAUUUCAAUUCUGGGUUGAUGACCAUGAGUAGCUAUUCUAGAAUUCCAGGAAGGGUGAAGAUGUUGAAUAUUAUCAAGAAACAUGUGAUUGUGAAAAUGAAUUGUACUAUGACUGUUAAUAUUUCCAGCCAGGCAAUUCAAGAACAAAAAUGUAAGAGGAAGGUUAAGCUCUAGGUUUUAUUGGGGUUUUUGUAUACUUUAUUUAUUGUGUUUUUAGUAGAAGAUGGAGUAAUAAUAUAGGUUUUUGGACACGAUAUAUAUCAUACGUUCAUAUGUAAAACAGUAAAAGCAUUGAGUGUGCUCCUUGUAUAGAUUUUUUCCUUCACUUUUCUCAUAUUGGAUUUUUCAUAUUUAGUUUACCAUCCAACUCCAUGUUUUUCCUUCCUCUUUUUAGUCAUGUUAAGUGUGGUAACCAAAAUAGUCUCUUCGUGAGCUAUCCCCUAUCUCCCCUG